AGAGUUUGAUCAUGGCUCAGAGCGAACGCUGGCGGCAGGCUUAACACAUGCAAGUCGAACGGGCGUAGCAAUACGUCAGUGGCAGACGGGUGAGUAACGCGUGGGAACGUACCUUUUGGUUCGGAACAACACAGGGAAACUUGUGCUAAUACCGGAUAAGCCCUUACGGGGAAAGAUUUAUCGCCGAAAGAUCGGCCCGCGUCUGAUUAGCUAGUUGGUGAGGUAAUGGCUCACCAAGGCGACGAUCAGUAGCUGGUCUGAGAGGAUGAUCAGCCACAUUGGGACUGAGACACGGCCCAAACUCCUACGGGAGGCAGCAGUGGGGAAUAUUGGACAAUGGGGGCAACCCUGAUCCAGCCAUGCCGCGUGAGUGAUGAAGGCCCUAGGGUUGUAAAGCUCUUUUGUGCGGGAAGAUAAUGACGGUACCGCAAGAAUAAGCCCCGGCUAACUUCGUGCCAGCAGCCGCGGUAAUACGAAGGGGGCUAGCGUUGCUCGGAAUCACUGGGCGUAAAGGGUGCGUAGGCGGGUUUCUAAGUCAGAGGUGAAAGCCUGGAGCUCAACUCCAGAACUGCCUUUGAUACUGGAAGUCUUGAGUAUGGCAGAGGUGAGUGGAACUGCGAGUGUAGAGGUGAAAUUCGUAGAUAUUCGCAAGAACACCAGUGGCGAAGGCGGCUCACUGGGCCAUUACUGACGCUGAGGCACGAAAGCGUGGGGAGCAAACAGGAUUAGAUACCCUGGUAGUCCAA
rnacentral:rRNA from 1 species